AAGGCCAAUCAAACCGGGAGAUAGCUGGUUCUCCCCGAAAGCUAUUUAGGUAGCGCCUCGUGAAUUCAUCUCCGGGGGUAGAGCACUGUUUCGGCAAGGGGGUCAUCCCGACUUACCAACCCGAUGCAAACUGCGAAUACCGGAGAAUGUUAUCACGGGAGACACACGGCGGGUGCUAACGUCCGUCGUGAAGAGGGAAACAACCCAGACCGCCAGCUAAGGUCCCAAAGUCAUGGUUAAGUGGGAAACGAUGUGGGAAGGCCCAGACAGCCAGGAUGUUGGCUUAGAAGCAGCCAUCAUUUAAAGAAAGCGUAAUAGCUCACUGGUCGAGUCGGCCUGCGCGGAAGAUGUAACGGGGCUAAACCAUGCAC
rnacentral:rRNA from 1 species